GCGCCGUAUGGGCGCGCGGGAGAAGCCGAUCAAACAUGCUUAAACCAGAGAAAGUGUACGUCCCAUGCCAUACUCAACGGCAGCGCUGUGCCGUGCGCCUAGCGAAGCGAAGAGAUCAGGGAACGAGAGUCAUUCCUUUUCGUUCCCCUCCGUUUCUCCAGAGUCGCGGUGAAAUCACAGACUAAGCCAGAAGCUGACCCUUCAACGGUUAAAUCUUCCUCACCCUGCCUUGUGGUUGCCUGUAUAUCGCCUCGAUUCUUUUCUGCGCGCGUCGCGAGCGAAUUGAAGGUGGCUCCCAGAAGGACAGCAAUCUGCUAGUUCUUCGCCUACUUCUCCUCCCAAUUUUCUUCUUCCGCUUGGAUUUUCCUUGUCGUUCUUGUUCUCGUGCUCAACUUCCAAUCCCACUUAAUGCGGUUUAUGAAAUUGCUCCUAUACUCUACAACCGCUUUGCCCGGGUUUUGAGCAAUGGUGAAACCCAACCUCCACAUAACGAAAUGAGCGUGCGCGGCGACAGGAGUGGCUCGCCGGCGAACCCGAGCAGUGUUGUUUUGGAAGCUAGGAUGGACAACCUGCAGGCAAAUCCUGCAGAGAACCAAGAAAUUUGGACUCCGGCCAUGGCGGAAAGGAGGAGCACUCCAAGUCCAAGCAUCCCUGGCAAUAGGUCCCUAUUCCUGGGCGAUGGGGCGCCCAGCAUAGGCUGCCAAAAUCUAGCAGCCGGGAGCAGCCCAAUCACCGGGCCAAAUUUGCUAUCAGGAUGCUCUAGAUCGAUGAUGAGUGCCACGCACGAGGGUUCCGCUUCCGCUCCACGAGCAGCUCUUCAGGGUUCCUGUAACCUGCCUGCAGGAUGCACAAAGGUGCCCAUAAGUAUCUUUGUGUUCCAAAGGCGUCGGGCUGGAAGGGGAUCAAGGCCUCCAACGCCACUAUCUGGUACUUCUAUACCAGCUCCUGCCCUGCCCGGUGUUCCAGGGGAUUCUGAAGAUGCACCUUCUAUUCUGCUUCCCAGAAGUGAUUUCUUGUCAAUUGGAAGGGCGUCAAAUGAUGUUGCAAGUGAUAUGGCAAUGAAUCCUUCAGCACAAGCCACUCCAGUUAGUUGCAGUUCUGAACAUCCAUCUAUACAUUUUCAGCCAAAUGGUUUAGAUGCGGAAUCACCCAAAACUGGGAUUCAAGGAAAUGAUAGCCAGCCAUCAUCGUCAUCAGCGGUAGUUACCUCUGGUGUCCACAGUAAAUUAGAAUCAGCUAUUCCUGCAAGAACCGAUGAAACACAAGGCCAACACACUAAACAAUUGAUUGAGCUACUUGGUGAAGGUGUAACUGAUCACAACAUGCUUGUGUACCAGCGGACGCCAAAAAAGCCUAGGACACAACUCAAACAGAAUGAUCCCACAGUUGUAGCAACACCAGCCGCACUCAAGGAAAGAACACUGACUCAGAUAGAUAUUCAGAUUUCAGGUACUGCAAAAGUUGAGACAUUCCAGAUUGAGGAUACCCCUGCACGAAAAGUGAAGCCUCGGAGGAAGAAACAUAGAGCAAAGGUAAUACGUGAAGACAAGCGAGGCAAGAAGCAAAACUCGGCAGUUACAACGCCAGAAGAAAAGUCUCCGAAUCAGAAAGCCAGGAGAAGUUAUGUCCGGAAGAAAAGAAAUCUCAGCUCUCUGGAGAAGUGCCCAGGACCUGUUACUGACCGAUCAAUAUCUGGAGGGACAGAAAAUGCUGCUAGAAGCAGAAUUGCAUCAGUUAGAAGAAGAUUGCAAUUCGAACUCGGUGAACAAGGAGUGCAGGGAGACCAGUCAUCAACAGGCAACUCAUGUCAACAUAACGAGAAACUUGCUCAUGCUAAAAGUUCUUUGUGUUCGAUGACUAGAUCAGCUGUGCAGAUUGGACAUGGACUGCAGGCAAACAUGGAAAAUUUACCAGGAGGAUUAGCUUUUGGCAUGACUCGCAAACUGAAUGAACUGUUAGAUGAGUACAUACAUUUACCCGAGAUCACGCCAAAACCUACACAAGAAAUCUCACCUGCAACUUCUGGAUGCCUUAGCAGGGAAGUAACAGGAAAACAAGACAACGCGGGAAGCACUCAUGAUCCUGAUGCCACAAGGAUGGGGGUGACUAUAAUGGAAGGGAACAACAAGGACUUGGGGGUGAAAUACUCGAACAUAGAUGGUUUUGAUAUGCAUCGAUUGGCUACGUCUAUACCUGAAACAGAAUCCACAGAAAGUCAGGUAACUAAGGUGUCGAAACUGGAGGAAAAGGAACAUGGACAACACACAGAGAGUGAUUCCUCCCUAACCAAUUCACGAGACUCCAUCAUCUUGAGGGCUGCCACAGAGAUGCUAGCAUUUUGCCAAGCUGGUGGGAUAAAAAAGAAGCGAUCGAUCCGAGCCCGCCGGAUUUCUUUUGUCCCUAUUAUGGAUAUUGAGAAAAAUAAGUCACAAGCAUUCGCAAGGUUACCUCAGUCAUGCAUGGAGGCCCUGUAUGAAAGUUCUUGCAUUAAAUUUGCGACCAAGAAACGUUCACAGAAGGAACGACUUCAUUCCCCCAGUUCCAUUCAACCAAAUAUGGACAAGAAAAGCAUGUUUUCUUCCAGAAGCAUUUUCUCUGGUGGAUCUAAUGGGUUAAAAGGAUCAGAGGGGACUUUCCAGCAGACUUUACCUCAGGCUCCAGAUAAUAGAAGAAUCAACCUUGAUAUUUAUUGUGAAGUACCAGAAAGAAGCUCAGAACAUACAUAUAUGGAUCAUCUCCAAGGAGUUACAUCAAGGCUGAAAUAUCUUGAUUUGAACACCGAGCAUUUGCAUCGAACUGAGAUGCUUCCGUCUCAGACCAUGUCUGCUGUUGUCUCUUUCGGAGAAACAGGUGGUCUGUCAAAUUCUCUUGUACCAUACAGUGGCCAGAUGAUUUUCCCAUACGAGAGGCCAUUGCAUUUAGUGAAGAAGCAGCGCCCUCGUGCUAAAGUUAACUUGGAUUAUGAGACCACAAGAGUUUGGAACCUUUUGAUGGGGAAAGCAACUGAACCUGUAGAUGGGACUGAUGUUGACAAAGAGAGAUGGUGGCAACAAGAAAGAGAAGUUUUUCAAGGCCGUGCAAAUUCAUUUAUAGCACGAAUGCGACUAGUUCAAGGUGACAGACACUUUUCUCCUUGGAAAGGAUCAGUAGUUGACUCCGUGGUAGGAGUAUUCCUCACCCAGAAUGUUUCUGAUCAUCUUUCAAGCUCUGCCUUUAUGGCCCUUGCUGCGAGUUUUCCUCCAGGGUCUGUUCAUAGCAAUUGUGAGGAUGAUAUUACCAGUCAAGCCAAUGAAGAAAUCUUUAGCAUGAGUGCGGUAGGAGGAGACAUAAGCAUGUUUGACUUUUUUGACAGUGGUACAAGAUCAGAUCUAGAAGCAACUGAAGGUUUUUGCAUCCACCAAGAGACAGAAAUAGACCAUAGAGCACACCAGUUUCCAGAUUUCUCUUCGAUAGAAUUAACGGCAUCAGCAGGAAGUCCACCAGAGAUACAGUCCCAGAAGGAUAUGUCAUCUACUGAGAGUGUUAUGAUUUCUGAAACUAUUACUGAAACACAGUUAUCUUCGAGUUCUGGGAAAAAUUAUGCACCUAGAUAUUUUGUUGGUGGUGUCAAUGGUGCAGCUUUUCAGCAGCUGGGAAGCAAUUUUGAUGGAAAUCCAUUAGCAGGAAAUGAUGCAGCAACCAAUGAACUUGGAUGCCAAAGAAUCAUAGGAGCUAUAAAUGACAAUGGUGUAGGUGAACAUGUGAUUCCCUCUCCUUCUGUACUGAUGUAUCCAUUUAUCUCAGUUGAUAAUCGACAACCAGAUGUGGCAAAUGAACCAUAUGUCUAUUCUACAUCUCACAAGAGUUCCGCAGGUUCUGCAUCAUCACAUCCCAAAAAUGGCGCAGUUGAGAAGGAACUUCCUCUUUUCAUGCCGUCUGAUAAUCAUAUAGCACAAAUUAAUUAUAGUAAGACUGUUAUCUCUACACUAACUACUCCUGAAACAAGCACAGAUCUUCCAGUCAAAUUGCGGUACAACAAAAGGGCCGGUUUUGAAGCAUCAGAAUUGCAGCAGCAUGAAUCACACUCUGUCACUGGUGGAAAUGGAAUGAUAGCAGAUACAGCAAGCGGCGCGGACGAAUCUACUUUAAAAUCUGGUUUUAUUGCCCACAAUGGAGUGCCAGAUAAAGCAGCUCAAGCAUCAAGGCCAAAGAAAGCAAGAACCACAAAUAAAAAAAAUAUGGAAAAAUUUGACUGGGAUAAAUUUCGAAGGCAAGCUUGUGAUGACGGUCACAUGAACGAAAGAACUUUUGAAAGAAGAGACUCCGUUGAUUGGGAAGCCGUACGGUGUGCAGAUGUACAAAGAAUUUCUCACGCUAUUCGGGAACGAGGAAUGAAUAAUGUUUUGGCAGAGAGAAUCCAGAGUUUCCUGAAUCGUUUGGUCAGAGAUCAUGGAAGCAUUGAUCUUGAAUGGUUAAGAGAUAUUCCCCCUGACUCAGCAAAGGAUUACUUGCUCAGCAUACGUGGACUGGGACUCAAAAGUGUCGAGUGUGUUCGUCUUCUGACAUUGCAUCAUCUUGCCUUCCCUGUUGACACCAAUGUUGGCCGCAUAUGUGUGAGACUGGGAUGGGUGCCCAUUCAACCUCUUCCUGAAUCUCUACAGUUACAUCUACUUGAGCUAUAUCCUGUCUUGGAGACUAUACAAAAGUACAUUUGGCCUCGUCUGUGUAAACUUGAUCAGCAAACACUGUACGAGCUCCACUACCAAAUGAUUACUUUUGGAAAGGUGUUUUGUACCAAAAGCAAGCCAAAUUGCAAUGCAUGUCCAAUGAGAAGUGAAUGUAAGCACUUUGCAAGUGCCUUCGCAAGUGCACGGCUUGCACUUCCUGCGCCUCAAGAGAAAAGCUUGGUGAAGUCGAGCAAUCAAUUCAGUUUCGAGAAUAGUGGCUUGCCCACUCGGAAUCAUGCUUGGAAUUCAACUGUUCUCAGUGUUCUGCCUCAACUCGAGGGAAGUACCUAUGGAAGGGAUGUUCUUGCUACCUACUCCGAGCCAAUAGUUGAGGAGCCAGCAAGUCCAAGAGAGGAAGAAUGUCCAGAAACUCUCGAAAACGAUAUUGAAGAUUAUGAUGCAGAUAAUGGUGAAAUCCCAACAAUAAAGCUUAACAUGGAAGCUUUUGCUCAGAACUUGGAAAAUUGCAUUAAAGAAAGCAACAAGGACCUGCAGUCUGAUGAUAUUGCGAAAGCACUUGUUGCUAUUAGCACUGAAGCUGCUUCGAUUCCAGUCCCUAAACUAAAGAAUGUGCGCAGGCUUCGGACAGAACACUAUGUUUACGAACUUCCAGAUUCACACUCUCUCGUGCAACAGCUAGAACUUGCCCGACGGGAACCUGACGAUCCAAGUCCUUAUCUAUUGACCAUAUGGAUGGAAGAUGACAUAAAGGAAAUGAGCAAGGCACCAAAAUCAUGUUGUGACUCUCAAAUGGAAGCUGACUUUUGUAAUAAUGGGAAGUGUCACUAUUGUGUGCCUGAGAGAGAAAACCAAUCUAGAUAUGUCAGAGGCACGAUUCUGGUAAGGCAAUCCUGGCAACCUAGAGAUGUUAGUGAGGUGAAUCAAGUGCCUAGUUUCAUAGAUGUUCAAUUUCAUUCCGGGCAAUGCUACCGAAGCCACCCUAGAAGACUGGAUCUAAAUCCCUGAAAUAGUGAAUCGGUAAAGAAAAUAAAAUUUACAAAGGUUCCGUGUCGAACAGCUAUGAAGGGUAGUUUCCCACUUAAUGGCACUUAUUUUCAAGUUAAUGAGGUAUUUGCUGACCACAAGUCUAGCCACGAUCCCAUACAUGUUGCAAGGGAGCAGUUAUGGAGCUUGCAAAGGCGUAUGGUCUACUUUGGGACCUCAGUAUCGACCAUAUUCAAAGGUCUAACAACUGAAGAAGUACAACAGUGCUUCUGGAGAGGAUUUGUCUGUGUGCGAGGAUUUGACAUGGAAACCAAGGCACCAAGGCCUCUAUGCCCCCAUUUGCACCUUGCAGCAAGCAAAUUGCCCAGAUCACGCAAGACGGCAGAAACUGAGCAAAACUCUGGUUUAGCGAAGGCAUCAAUUUCAUAGAUAUUAUGCCGACGGUAAUAGCAUUAGCUCUCGACCUGUCAUAUUAGUUCCGGCCGGAGGAUAGCCAUUAAUUCUUCUAGGAAAUAAAACAUGGAGUAGGUACCUUAUAGUCACUCCAUUCUUCUAGAAAUAAAGCAUGGAGUAGGAACCUGUUAGUCACAAGGGGUGAGAGCUAAUUGAGCAUGAGAAUUAUUAUCCAGUUGUGUUGAGUGUAGAACAUCGUUGUAUUUUUUUUCCCUGCGAGACACAGUACUAUCUUAUUUACUUUCCGUUUGGUUUAUCCGCUGCACUAUCCGGCAAAGGGACCUUGUUUAUGUACCAGCAUUUCGUUGUAUAUAUGCCGUUGAUUUUCAGACGA